rnacentral:rRNA from 1 species
UACGUAGGGAGCAAGCGUUGUCCGGAUUUAUUGGGCGUAAAGAGCGUGUAGGCGGCCAGAUAGGUCCGUUGUGAAAACUCGAGGCUCAACCUCGAGACGCCGAUGGAAACCAUUUGGCUAGAGUCCGGAAGAGGAGAGUGGAAUUCCUGGUGUAGCGGUGAAAUGCGCAGAUAUCAGGAGGAACACCGGUGGCGAAGGCGGAUCUCUGGGCCGUAUUGAC